AAACUGCAUCCCAAUCUCUUCAUUAGAGACGAAGACAUAGCUUGAAAGUGAGACGAGAAGAAAACAGUAGAACAUGAACAUGCAAGCGGAACCAUAAGAGUGUUAAAAGGCAUACUUUUCUUUAAGAUACUACACCACCUUCCAAAUAACAUGGAGACUUCAGGGGCCGUUAGCUUCUUACAGGUAUGCAAUCUUACUUUCUGACACUAAUUGCUAUUUAUCGAGGAAACAGCAAAUUAGUAUUGAUGACAAUUGUGAAUUGAAAUAGAUCGGGCAAAUUCGUGGGGUGAGUUUAAAACAAUGCUUAAAUGCCGAAUGCAAAGAAAGAUCAAUCAGUUGCAAAACCCAUGUAAUUACAGACCCAUAUUACAGACUGAAACCUAAAACCUAUGUAAUUACAGACCCAUAUUAGUAUUCAACCAAGAAAACAUAUACACAGGCAAAACCCAAACCAAUCCCACUAAAUAAUUACAAUUCUAAAGUUGUAAGUGGCAGUCCAAAUGUAAACCCAGAAGAAAACACCUAAGAAUGUUUAGCACUACCCUUUAGCUAUCUCCCUACUGGCCUACUCUUCUUUUGCCUAAUGGAUAAACAGAUUCCAACAACACACAGAUACCACCCUACAGCUAAUCCUUGUUGACACAAUCGGUGUUACAGUCAACUGUAAUUUAAUACUACAGGAAACCUAAAGAGAACAAUGUUCAUGAAUCACCACCAGCCUCAGCGAAUGGAUGAUUAUGUUGUCGUACAAACUGCCCCUUCACCCGAGGCCGCUGCUCUGCCAGUCUUUUCCGGCUUUGAUAUCGAACCUAUACAAGAAAUUAGAGUACUUGUUAAUAAGAUCUUUAGUGAAACAUGCUAUAGGAGUUUCCAAGCCAACUGCAAUCAUAGAUAUAAAUUCACCAUAAAUAAUCUUAAAGUAGCCUUUUACUAAGUGCUGUUUAUGAUACCUUUUUCUCGAAGCAUCUCUCUUUCCGCUUCAGUCGAAACUUCACUAGUGCUGCUUCUCUUUGACUGGAGCGAUGAGAAUCUGUCACUCUAAAUCCAUCAUAAUUAUGACAACCACUAUCACUGAAACCAUCUGAGGUGUUCUUGGAUACUAUAGCUGAAGUAGCAUGUCCAUCAUUUCCACUGUCCAUGCUUCCAUAUGCACUACUAUUAACAUGAUUUGCAGCAUCAUGGCAUAAAUUAUUACCAGCACUCUGAUCAGCAGCAGGAGACUCAUGCCUUGCGUGAUCUGAAUCAGUAUUAUCCUUUACAUUUUGAUCAAGACAAGUAGCAUCAUUGGAACAGUCAUGAGGUUGAUCUGAGCAGUGACUUUCAGGAUUGGACUGGGAGGAGGUACUUGUGGGAAAGGGAGAACUCUCAUUCUGGCAGACUGGUUUUGGACUCAACAUGGGGUGAAUGCCAGAUUGUGCAUAGAAAACAGAAGUAAAAACAUGACCAUGUCCCUCAGACUUAAGCUUGGAGAUAACUCCUGAAACAGGUAAGAGUCCAUACUGACCAAUGACUGUACUGAUCAUAUUCUCCAGGUUCUGAUUUGAGUCGUCAUACUGACAAUUUCCAGAUAAUUUAAGGCAUUCAUGAGAAUCCCAAUUGAGCCAGUUUACUUUAGGAGAUGUAAUCGAUGGUGGUGAAAAAAGAGGCUGCAACAAUUUACUAUUACUGUACCUGCAUAUAGAAAUUAUUACCCAUCGUCAGAAAAUCUGUGUAAUCACAAUGAUGUUGAGUUUUUGAAUGGGUCAAUAGGAAAAAAAAAUACUUUAGAAUGAAAUACUGGAUAGUGAUUUCUCAUCAUCCAAGGAUGAAAGCUUAAACAUGGCCUUUAUUUUUGGGUGGUAGGGAGAGGGGGAACCAUAAGAGUGCAGAAAUUUAAUGUUUAAAUAAAAAAAGGGCCAAACCAGUGUAUAGUUUUACAUAGAGAUGAUUUGAUCCAUAAACUUAAAGGAAACAGUCCCAAAUGGUUAUUAACAAAGUCUCUUUGAAGAAUUCUUCUUAUUGUUGAUAACUGUGCACAAAAACACCCAUGUAUCUGUGGUCUUCAAUAUUUUAGAUUUUAGAAGCAUAACUAUAUUUACCAUUAUUAGGAUUAUUGGAUCCUUCCAUAGAUUAUAGGCUCUGAAAAAUAUGUUUCAGUACAAAUCACCAUUUAUUCAGCUUUCAUCAAUACUAAUCCUACAUAUAGAACAACAUAAACAAGACUGACGAAAGACAUGAAAAGCACAUGUUAAAAUUCAAAUAACAAAAUUCCAUGAAGAACUUCCUUCUGCUGACUAAAAUUUGUUUCUUUGAUGGUCAG
rnacentral:lncRNA from 1 species